UCAGUGAUCGGGAGCUCAACGGUGUGUUUGCCAGUCGGCUUGAUGGUUUCCUCUAUUGCAGAAUCAGCAGUGGUGAAUUCUGUCUCACCCUCCUUGCUUAGGCCACCAUAUUGAACUGGAACUUGCUCAGGUGCUAUGUAUCUGAUAACAACAAGUGGAAACUCAGUAAUUAAAACAACAUAUAAUAACCUAGUAUACAUAUAUACCUCAAAGAAUUCAAAUAAUCAUUAAUUGCAAUAAAAAGAAUAAGGUCAUAAUUUGCACUGACUUGAAGAGGGUCUCAGCAGUCUUAGUAGGGCCAGCAAACUCAAACUUGCUCUUGGUUCUUUGAGUCAAGAAUGGGCUGAUCAACCUAUUGUAAGCCACAUACCACCAUGGAACAUUGAUAAACACCUUCACAACAAAAUCAGCUCUAGUUAAAUACAGAUAUACCCAAAAAAACACACAACCAAAUUGCAAGAACCACACAAACAAUCAAUCCAUCAAUUUACACAACAUCCAAAGUCAAAAGAUUGGAUCUUUAAAGUGUGUGAGAGGAAAUUGCAAGAAACACACAGAAACAAUCGAUCCAUCAAUCAAAACCACAGCAACCCAAUUCAAGAACAAACAUACAGACAAUAUAGACAACAUCCCCAAGUCAAAACAUCGGAUCUUUAGGGGGUGCUCCGUUAGUUGAGAUUAAAUUGGCUAGAAAUUAUCGGAGAUUAAUUCUCAUAAGAGAGAGGUCAAGAUUCAUGAGGCAGACUAAUCCUACAUGGCAGUAGCUCGAAAUUAAGUUCAGGGCCACCCAAACGAACAGCAUAUAAUGAGACUACGAAAUUGAACACCCCCUUAGUGUGUGUGAGAGAGAGUACCUGUUUGGCAACAAACUCAGGGUAGUUAUCUUGUAGAAGCUGGAGGGCCUCAUUAGUGGCCUGUCUGAAAUCUUUCUUGAAGAGAAUCAAGCCAGGCAGAUUCUUGAGAUCAGUGAUUUGAACAAUGGUGCAGAUGCUAUCAGGGCUGAAAUCGAAUUUCCUGAUGUUC
rnacentral:lncRNA from 1 species